AACAUGAAGAAAAACUUCUUUACUGUCAAAGUUACAGAGCACUGGAACAGGCUGUCCAGAGAGAUUGCAGACUGUCUUCUGGGGAUAUUCAAAACCCACCUGAAAGCUUUCCUCAGCAAAACACUGUAGGGAACCUGCUUUAGCAGGGUGUUGGACUAGGUAAUUUUCAGAGGUCUUUUCCAGACCCUACCAUACUGUGAUUUGACCAAUGAGAUUCUUUGUUCUAUCUGCCCUAUUGAAGAAGGGGAAGGGGUGAUUGGCUGAGUGAGCAGCUGGCUCGAAGCUGUGGCUAACUCAACAUGCUGAGGCAGAAUUGUAAUGGCAGGCAUCCUGCAUCACCAGAAGGCAUCCAAAGUUGGUCUGGCGUAUUUUGCUUCCACACUUCAAAGAAAUUAUUCUGUGCCUCAGCAGCAGGAUUAGAGAUGAUGAGCGAGUAUGGAUAUGGAAAAACUGAACUGAAUUUUCAAAAUACACCUUAUAAGAGAAGCACAAUUCUGUGGAGAACUGCACUAAUGUAGUUCUGCUAGUGUUCUUGAUGUUUUGUUGUGUGUUCCUCAGAGAGUUUUGAAACUACAAGAUCUAAUGGAGAAAUGAAAUUGAAGAACUGGAGAGAUAAUAUUUUGGGAGGAUACCAGAGGUGACCUAUGACUGGAAAGUUCAAUCAGUAGACUGAAAUCCAGGAUGUAUCUAAGGUGUUCAAGAUAAUUAUUUUCAGGAACAAUAAACAUUUUAAGGAAAAGUGAGUCAUACAUCCUGCUUUCAGUGUGCAGAGUAACUAUGAAGACCUAUUGUAUCUUAAAAGCUGAAACCUAUAGCAUUAUGGAUUCAUUACUCACUCUGAGGCAGAUUAAUUAAUGUAUAAGUAAAGGUUAUUCAUUUGAUAGAUACCCAUAUAUAAUAUUUUUCUUUCUGUAAUCCAAAUGGAGUUGGUUUGAAAAUGAUUGUCUUCAUAAAUAGAAGCACAGAUAUACAGUGAAAGGGCAUUUUUGACCAACAGCUCCAAUGAUGUUGGCAAAAUCAGAAGAAAUACUGCUUGCUAAUGGACUAAUUCUGCAGAGGCAGCAAAGAGUACAAAGAACUUCUCGUUUCUGUGAACUCAACAAAAUAAAGUAAGAAAGGCUGGCUUAGUUUAAAUAACACUGCAGUGGGUUAAUUAAAAAUAGAUACGCAGUAUCCAGCCAAUUCCAUGUAUCUUAUUCUCCUCUGAGUUCAAAGUAAUGUUGAAAUUUUUUUUUUAUACAAACAUGUUGAUGUAAUGCCCUUUUACUGAUGCUGGCAUCUAACUUAUAAGAUUAAGGAGUUAGGAAAAGUUAGCAGUUAAUGAUGACGAACAAUUACUUCAGUGAUGAUCUCUGUUUAGAGUCCUCUCUGUUAGCAGAGAAGACACUGUGAAUUUUGAAAAAUAUGAAAAGCAAAGUUGAGAUUUCAGGUACCUCCAUUUUUGGGAAUCUCAGGUUUGGGAAUUAAAGAGAAAUAGAUGAAAUUUCAGAAAACUGUGGCGAUGUUAUCACAUGAAUACUAAGUCCAACAAGUAAUGUUCUUCUCUUUCUCCUCUCCAUAGUAAUUGUUAGGUUUUAAAAUGUCUGGUAAACUCUAAUUCGUUCUUUAGAAUAUCUAUGCAAUGCUUCUGGAUCCUGAACCUGUGGGGCAGAUAAGCCUAUUCAGAACUGUACGCAGAAAUGGCACGUGUUCCAACCUUUUGAAGGGAAUUGGAUGGAGAAGACUGCACCAAACUACCACCUCCAUAGGAAAAAAUAUCUGAUAUGCCACAAUGAUGAUAAAAUAUCUUGCUGAGAUGCGUAAGAAUCAGUGUCAUUGAUUCUUAAUGACAGCAAAGAUAUCCAGGAAAAAGGACUACUAAGAUGAAAUAUUAUGACGUGCAUUACUUGUAUAAAAUAUGAUCUUGACAGUAGAAGAACAGCUUAAUAAAGAAACAGCUUUCCUGUAACCUGCACAGCAGAUAGCCUUCUUGCCUAGCCAGGUAGCUCUUGGUAGCCAGUAUCUCUACUACAACUUUCCUGUUGAUUUUUCUUAGCUUCAAGGACAAUAACUGUUGUUACUCUGUAUCUUUUUGCAGGCUGUUACAAAGAGCAGUUAAAAAUAAAAAUAAACAUAUGGUUUUGAUGUGGCAGACUGAACCUGUCUGAUUUAUGGCAGUUUGGAGUGUUCACUGCAUGUGAAAAAGGUGCAAGCUAAAUAUUAUCUGCCUUUUUGCAGAGCAUUUAAUUCAAUACUGGGAAAGCAGCAGUUGGCAGUCUGAUUCUCCUCUACCGUAUGAUGACUAUAUUCCUCAAAUCAAAAUCAAGCUGCCAGUUCUAGAGACUCUUCUCACAGCAGAUAGUGUCAAUAAAAGAACUCUGAAGAAGUGCUGGGAAUAGCAAGUAUGCCAGAUCAGCCACAUCAUCUGUGGGUAGUUGCUUUUCGGCUUUUGUCGCACUCUCCUUUAAUUGACCUCAGGUGUCAGAGGAAUAGGUUGGCAUCUCUGCCUCACUAAUUAUCUCUGACAUGUGGCUGGCACUGGCAAAUUUACUCCAAAGGAUGUACCUGCUGUAUUCUAUGUUGGCCCUCACCUGUUGAAGGGGAAUAAGUGCUGUAUAUUUUGAAUCAGAGAUCUAAAUAUGUAAUGAAUGCUCCGUAUGCUGCUCUGCUUUCUAACUCUGAUUCAUGAGUUCUGUCUUCUUUAGACCAAUACAAGUAUUGCAGUAAGCAAGUCAAUGCUCUUUCAAAUGAUACUUUUUCCCUUGUCAAGAUAAACAAAAUAUAUGAAUUGAUUUGGAAAGCAUC